rnacentral:SRP_RNA from 2 species
GCUGGGCAUGGUGGUGCAUGCCUGUAAUCCCAGCUACUUGGGAGGCUGAGGCAGGAGAAUCACUUGAACCCAGGAGGCGUAGGUUGCAGUGAGCCGAGAUGGCGCCACUGCACUCCAGCCUGGGCAACAGAGUGAGACUCUGUCUCAA